GUGGUAAAGGGGUGAAGGCGAAGGAGGGAGUUCCUGAGAGCAAGCAACACAUGCCUGGCGCGGUGCGGUGCUGCUGGCGGCGGGUGGGGCCGCCGGGCGGGCCGCCGCGGCUUUCUCCUGUCGUCGGAGGCUGCUGACAGGAAAACGAGCCGGGUGGGGAGCGCCCCGGCCCGGGCCCUUUCCCCUGAAAGUCUGCCGGGGCCGGGUAAGCCAGAUAGAGACUCUGGCCCAUGUUACAAACGGACGUUGAGGAUCGCAAAGAUCAGCCUUCUAGCCCUCUCUGUGCCUGUUACGAGCUUUGUGACCUGUGGCAAGUCCCUUAACCCGCGCCUCAGUUUCCCCACUCUUCUAGAGGACUUGCGACCUGAGAGUGGUCGAGAAGAAAAAAAAGUUCACGUCACAAGCACUACCUGCCUAGUGACAGGAUUCAGAUGAAACAUGACAAACUUGUAAACGCUGCAACCCGGACAUGUCCGUGCACAACUCUCCAGUGAGCUUGAUGGGAAUGGGGAGACAAACCACACAUACUGCCACGCUGUGCCGGGCAGCAUGAGAUCAAAGAGAAACCCGAGGAGGAGCAAGUCCCUGCUGGCUCAGGCGCAGACAGCAAGUCAGAGCCCCCCAGUCCUGGGAAAGCCCAGGCGGCCAGAGCCUCAGCAGAGUCCACCCUGACUUUCCCUCGGCAGGCCCUGGUGCUCACUGCUCGGGACAGUGUGCUGGGCAGCCACUCGUCUAGAAGAACGAAUGAAUGAACAUCGUAU